AGGUGCUCUCCGCUGGAGCCCAUGCUCUCCACGCACCAUCCCGUCAGCCCUGGCGCUGUGCUAGGACGGGCUGAGGAGCAUGAUGGCUGCAGCGUGGUGCCACUCCCGCCCAUCCUUACAGUGGUUAAGACCUGCCUAGUGGUUCCCAAGCCUUGCUAAGGAGUCUGGAAGCUUCACCGGGAGAAGAACCCCCUGCCUCCCCAACCCCCUCGCGGGCCCAGAGCCAUGCAGGGAGGAAGUUUGAGGCUGCAGGCACUGGAGGCAAGAGGCUAACCAUGAACGCUGCCAGCAAAUCAGCCUCUGUCCCCACACUCCCAGCCGGCUAGAAUCUGGCUCGCACAUACCUGCUUCGUCAUCGUCAUUCCCUUCCUGAAUGUUCUCAAGACUGUUGGUUGGAACACGCCUUCCUAGCUUUCUGGCAAAAAAAAAAAUCUUCAUUAUUCUCUGCCUGCUUUUCCUCUUCUUCCCCCCACCCCCCAUUAAAAUGGGUGCCCCUCAGGGUUCUCCCUGGGCCAUCUUGUACCUUCUGUCUGUACAGUCCUUGGGGCUCCUCUAUGGCAGAACCUUCAGUUAUCACUCACAUCCUAAGGCUCGCAAAACUUCUCCUCUAACCGAGCGAGAUCUUUCUCUGAGCUCCAGAUCUCCACGUCCAGUGCUGACCUCUCCCCUUGGCUGCCUCCCAGGCCCCGGUCAAGCUCAACACGUCCAUAGUGAAAUUCGUUGUUUCUGACCCAAACCUGCUGCCCCGCCUGGUUCUCUUUUUCAGUAAAUGCCAUCCUCUUCCACCCACUUCUCAAGCUGGAGACCAUGUGUAUACUUUCUUUCCCUUCUCUUCCCAUGUGCAAUCAGCGUAGUAAGUUUUUCAUAAAAUUUUAUGUAGUCAAUCAAAACUACUACCCUUUACUUUGAAAUUCUGUUCAUCCUGUGUCUUUGACUCAAAAUGCAUUAAAAAAAAUGAGAUGUAGGAGAUGGUAGAUGGCAAUUUGUUUCUGUUUGUAUGUUUUUAGUAUCAGUUUUGGAGACGCUGUGGAUUGCUCCCAAAACCCAGAUUCCUUUCUCUUUUCCCCCAGGAUCCAGUUUUGUUCAGAUGGCCACCCUAUCCCCCACUUCAGAAGGCAAUUCUGAUUAGUUUAAACCAGCAGUUCUAUCAAAGUGUGACUACAAGACCCUUUCAGGGGGUCUGGGAGGUCAAAACUAUUUUCAUACUAAGUCAUUAUUUGUCUUUUUCACUCUCAUUUUUUUAUGAGCAUAUGCUGGAUUUUUCCAGAGGCUAACUGUCAUGUGAUAUUGCAACAGAUUGAGUGCAGAAGCAGAUAUGAGAACCCAGCUGUCUUCUAUUAAACUCGAAAUUAAAGAGAUUUGUAAAAAUGUGGAACGAUGCCACACUUCUCACUAAACUUAAAAACAACAGUUAUUUUUUCAUAGCAAAUGUUUGUUAACAUGUAGUAAAUUUAUUAUUUUUAUUUUUAAAUGAAUUGACAAAUAAAUAU
rnacentral:lncRNA from 1 species